GAUGAACGCUGGCGGCGUGCCUAAUACAUGCAAGUCGAGCGAACAGAUAAGGAGCUUGCUCCUUUGACGUUAGCGGCUGACGGGUGAGUAACACGUGGAUAACCUACCUAUAAGACUGGGAUAACUUCGGGAAACCGGAGCUAAUACCGGAUAACAUCUUGAACCGCAUGGUUCACUAGUGAAAGGCGGCUUUGCUGUCACUUAUAGAUUGAUCCGCGCCGUAUUAGCUAGUUGGUCAGGUAACGGCUUACCAAGGCAACGAUACGUAGCCGACCUGAGAGGGUGAUCGGCCACACUGGAACUGAGACACGGUCCAGACUCCUACGGGAGGCAGCAGUAGGGAAUCUUCCGCAAUGGGCGAAAGCCUGACGGAGCAACGCCGCGUGAGUGAUGAAGGUCUUCGGAUCGUAAAACUCUGUUAUCAGGGAAGAACAAAUGUGUAAGUAACUGUGCACAUCUUGACGGUACCUGAUCAGAAAGCCACGGCUAACUACGUG
rnacentral:rRNA from 1 species